UAUCGACGUGGUGUAAUAUUCCAUCUCCCGAAAUUGUCACUUUUUCAUAUACUCGUGACUCAUGCGGGCCCCAUCAUUUUAUCCUGGGUCCAGAUUCAGACUCCUAUUCAUCUUUCCAAGUCUUCUCUUGUUUGCUUCUCUGCAAGUCCUCCACUAGCUCGCCGAAAGUGCUCGAGUGACUUCCUCGUCAAUAUCUAACGAUUUCCCUUCAGCGCGUUUCUGCAUCAUUUGUUAUUGGAAAAGAAACAUACUCAUGUCGGUCGGGAGUGGUUGAUCAUCUGGAAUAUCCGAACCUCUCAGAUUGACUUCCCUGCCAUACCCUCUCUCUCUUGCUACCAAGCCAUCAGAUCAAGGCUCCACUGCAGCUUCUCUAAAGAUCUCUUGCAUCGAUUCUGAGAUUGCAGGGAGUAUAUAUGGCGGCUUCUUCCUCUUCCACUGCUGUUAUCCCCCACCGAGGAAAGCACGACGUGUUUCUCAGUUUCCGAGGCGAGGACACCCGCGACGGUUUCACCAGUCAUCUUCAUGCUGCUUUACUCCGGAGUAAAAUCGAAACCUACAUAGAUAACAGACUCGAGAGAGGAGACGAAAUCGGUCCCGCACUUGUCAAAGCAAUUGAGGAAUCAGAGCUCUCGGUAAUCAUUUUCUCGGAGAAUUAUGCCUCUUCUACAUGGUGCUUGGAUGAGCUUGUGCAUAUACUCGAAUGCAAGAAGAAAUAUGGAUUCUCUGUUAUACCUGUUUUCUACCACGUAGAUCCAUCACAUGUGCGGAGACAGGAGGAGAGUUAUGCAGCUGCGUUUGCUCAACUUGAACAACGUUUCGAGGAUAAGGUGGAGAUGGUGCGCCGGUGGAGGGAUGCUUUGACAACUGCUGCAAAUCUAUCUGGGUUUGAUUCUCAAAAUAUAAGGCCUGAGUCCAAGUUAGUUGAGGAUAUUGUUAGAGCUAUUUUAGUGAAAUUGAAUCGUGGAUCAUCCAGUGUUUUGAAGGGCCUGGUAGGGAUGAAAAGCCGCGUUCAGGAAGUCGAAAGGUUGUUGAGUUUGGCCUCUCUAGAUGUCAGGACUGUAGGCAUAUGGGGUAUGGGUGGUGUAGGUAAGACCACCCUUGCUCGUGCUGUAUUUGACCAUCUCUCUUUGAAAUUUGAAGCUUGUUGCUUCAUUGGAGAUAUUAGAGAAGCAUCAGAGACUAGUCAUGGACUAAAUCAGUUGCAAAAGGAGCUUCUUCGUAUUUUAUUAGACCAAGAAAAUCUGAAUAUGGGCACUAUUUCUGUAAGUUCAACUCUUGAUAGAAGGAGGCUCCGCCGUAAGAAGGUCCUCAUUGUUCUUGAUGAUGUGAAUGAUCCAAGGCAACUAGAUGUUUUAGUUGGAGAUGAUGCUCAGUUUGGUCCUGGAAGUAGAAUCCUUAUAACAACUAGAUAUAUGCAACUACUUAAGACUGGGGGAGCAGAUAAGAUAUAUGAAGUUAAGCAAUUAAAUGAAGAUGAAGCCCUUCAGCUUUUUCGUUUAAAUGCUUUCCAAAAUAUGUGUCCUACAUCUGAAUAUACAGAAUUGUCAAGAAUGGUGGUAAGUUAUGCUGAAGGCAUUCCGCUGGCUCUUAAGGUUUUGGGUUCCCUAUUGCACUGCAAGAGAAAAAGAGAAUGGGAACGUGAAUUGAUUAAACUGGAAAAGAUUCCCAACAAAAGAAUUGCGGAUGUGUUGAGAGUAAGUUAUGAUGGAUUAGAUGCGGAACAGAAAGAGAUAUUUCUUGAGAUUGCAUGUUUUUAUAAAGGGGAGAAGAUAGAUUAUGCACAAAGAAUGUUGGAUACUUGCGGCUUCUGUGCUGAUGCGGGAAUUGAAGAUCUGAUUGACAUGUCUCUCAUAUCAAUCAAAAACAACUACCUGUGGAUGCAUGAAUUGAUACAAGAAAUGGGUCGUGCAAUUGUCCGUGAACCUAAGGAGCGUGGAAGACGCAGUAGGUUGUGGAUUGCUGAGGAUAUCUGUCAAGUAUUCAAAAAUAAUACAGGAACCGGAACAAUUGAAGCCAUAUUCCUUGAUAUGUCUAAGAUUACAAAGCUGCAUGUGAGAGGUGCAGCCUUCAAAGACAUGCAUAAUCUAAGAUUGCUCAAAAUAUAUAACUCUGGUGAUGAAUUUCCCGAGAAGCACUGCAAAAUAUACCUUCCCGAAGGCCUUUCGUCUCUUCCUGAUGCCCUUAGAUAUCUGUACUGGGACGGAUACCCUUUGAAAUCAUUGCCAUCAGAAUUUUCUCCGGGCAAUCUUGUUGAACUGCAUAUGCCCAAUAGCCAAGUUGAGCAACUUUGGACUGAAGACCAGAAUUUUGGGAAGUUGAGAAGGAUAUAUCUUAGUCAUUCCAAGAACCUAAUUAAAGUUCCGGAUCUCUCUCAGAGUCCGAUUGAGGAUAUAGAACUUCAGAACUGUACAAGUUUAGUUCAAGUCCCUACAUAUUUUGAAAAUCUUGACAAGCUUACCUCUCUGAAUCUUAGUGGCUGCUCAAGUCUUAAACAUCUUCCAGAUAUGCCAGUGAAUAUGACUACCUUAUCUUUACAUGGAACUGCAAUAGAAGAGUUGCCUGCAUCAAUUUGGUCCCACAAGAAGCUUGUAUCAUUAGACCUGACGUACUGUCGAGACCUUAAGAAUCUUCCGAGCAGCACUUGCAAUAUGGAUUCUCUCCAAAUUCUUGGUCUUUUUGGCUGCUCAACUCUUGGCAGAUUUUCAGAACUUCCCAGGAAUAUAAGACAUUUAUGUUUGACUGGGACAGCAAUUGAAGAAGUACCCUCAUCAAUCGGGUGUGUCUCUGGGCUCGUUUCAAUUCGACUGGAAAAUUGCAAAAAGUUUGUGACGCUGCCUACCAGCAUUUGUAAGUUGAAAUCUCUCGAGAGACUUUCUCUCUUUGGUUGCUGUAAAUUCAAGGACUUCCCAGAAAUCUUGGAGCCUAUGGAGCGUCUGGAGUUUUUAAAUCUAAGUAAAACAGCGAUUCAAGAGCUACCCAUGUCGACUGAAAAUCUAGUCGGGCUAAAAAAGUUGGAGCUGUUUAACUGCAAAAACCUCCGGUUUGUCCCUGGCAGUAUCUACAAAUUAAAAACUGUGGUCCUCGAUGGUUGUUGGAAACUCAGAUUUUUUAAGUUGGAGCGAAAGAACUUACGUCUGGAUUGGCUCUUGAACUUAGGUCGUCUGGAGUAUCUAAGUCGUCUGGAUUGGACCUUGAACUUAGGUCGUCUGCAUCGAAGUUUUGCUCUUGAACUUACAUUGAAGUUUCUCCCCUCUCUUGAACUUCAAGAAGUUACGUCGUUGUCGUCCAGUACAUCAAAGUCUCUCUCCUUCAAGAAGUUACGUCAUCCGUCGUCGUGUUGGAAGUCUCUGUUACGUCAUCCGUCGUCGUGUUGGAAGUCUCUCUCCUCUCUUAAACUUCAAGAAGAAGUAUUUCAAGAAGCCUGCAAGAAGUUAAAUCUUAAACUUCAAGAAGAAUUUCAAGAAGCCUGCAAGAAGUUACAUCUUAAACUUCAAGAAGUUAAAGCAUCGAAGGAAGUUCAAGAAGCACUUGAACGUCUUCAGAAGUUUCAACGUAGACUUGAAGUUGAACUUAAAGACGCACUUGAAGCCUCCCAGAAGUUUCAUCGUAGACUUGAAGCCUCCCAGAAGUUGUAGAUUGUUAAUAUGAGAUUCACAUCUAAAACCAAUUGACAAUAGAUGGAGUGACCCAAACCCUUAUAAACUCAUAGGCAAUGUCUCAUUUCUCCCAUGUGGGAUAUAUAUGUUCUCAACAGUUUGAAAAUUAAAAACUUUCCUGUCUUCUCAGUCGGUUUGCCCUCUUUGAAAAGAUCAACUAGAGCUCAGUUAUUGCGGUGCUUUAGAAAUCCCUGAUGGUCUCAUUAGCUUAUCAUCAUUGCGGAUGCUAAAUCUAAGUGGAAACAUGGUUGAGAGAUUACCUGCAAGCAUCAUGCAAGUUUCGGGGAUGGAGUAUCUAAACUUCAGAGAUUGCAAGAGUCUUCAAUAGUUCAAUCUUUAUCGGAGCUCCCAUUGCUUCUACAACAUUUUGAUGGCCAUGGGUGCAUCGGACGGGAGACAGUGUCAAGUUCGAGGAUCAAUAUCAGACCAGGUUGGGAUCAAUAUCAUGUGUUCUCUAAUAGCUUAAAUCUGGAUCAGAAUGCAUGGAACGAGAUGAGAUUGGAUGCACAGCUCAGAAUUUUUCUAAUGGCAAUCGCGUCAUCAAAGGUUAAACAAGAAACUGGUCAUAACUGCGGUCAUGAGCGUUGUGAUGCAAAAGCUUCAAUUACAAUUUUAUCUCCAGGAAAUGACAUUCCAAAGUGGUUUUGCUAUCAAACUGAAGGAUCUUCAAUAAAUAUCAAGCUUCCUCCAGAUUGGUUUGAUACAAACUUCUUGGGUUUUACUCUAUCCGUUGUUGCAUUCGACAGAAAUAAUAGUUAUCCUGGUUACUCAGACUUGGGAUUUGGAUGUAAAUCCUAUUUCAAAACCAACAAUGGUGAAACCAUUGAGUUUAAUUGUUGUUUGAAUAAUUGGGAUUGCGGUGUGCAUAGAUCUGGAAGUGACAAUGCGCAUCAUAUUAUUACGUGGUAACUUAAUCCCCUAAAGGGAGAUGGAGCAAAAUGGUCCUCUAGUUUUUACAAUGUCACGGAGGCUUUCUUUGAGUUCUACCCUCUAGGCUGGUUGGAACAACCCACUGUGAAGAAGUGUGGGAUUGGCCUGCUGUCUUCCCCAGACUUUGAUUUCAUUGAUGAAGUUGCUAGGGAUAUCACAAGAAUAGAAGAUGUCAUUGAAGCUGAGAUGCAGUGAGGAGACGUCUAAACCUAGUCAGUGGAAUUGUUAGCUCUUAAGGAAGAUCAUGCCAUCCAAGUCUCUCGCAAAGUGUAGUGAAAAGAGAUGCUCAUAGUCAAAUGCCUUUAUUUAAUAUCUCGGAAAGCUCAUUUCAAAUAUUCAUCCUGGACUGCACAAGGUAAUGUCAUGUAGAUUUUGAGUAUGUGGGAUGGGUUAGCUUAUAACGAUACUGCUGUAGUAAUCUCUUCAUAUCAUUGGUCCUGAUGAGAUUAUGGUCUGCUUAAUGAAUCCGAUAUUGAGAUUACUAUAAUGUUUCCAAUGUUUUCAUUCAAGUCAGUCGGACGCUCAUUGUUGUUCAAUCUGCCUAACGAAUCUCUAAAAAUGAAUUGUAGGAAGGUAAGAAAAGAUUAUCCAGUGAAGCUGCAACAGCUACAAAUUGGAAUAGCAGGAAUUGCUGUCAUCAAAGAGCAAUGAACGGUAGCAAAACUCUAGACUGCAAAAUGGGAUCGAUUUGUUCACUUGCUGCUCUGCUAUUGAUGAAGAUGAAGUACAAAUUACAUGGACAUUGGCUCCAAACAUCAAGAGCUACUGGUCGGUAGCUGUUGGCUUUCAAUGAAGGUACAUGACCUACAGAAUCCAGGAGGCAAGGAAUGGUUGAUUACAAGCUUAAUAAUGUAAGAACACUGUUUGAGCAGAAGAUGUGAACGACAUAUGUUUGAUGUAGAGGAGGUAGAACACUUGGAUGUCGAGUACGCCACUCGAAAUCAAUUAAGUGAUAAGAAAGAACAUGCAACUAUGUCAAUUUCAAAGUUUUGUUUUUCUAAACACGUCGAAGUAAAAAUACUAGCCGUUAUGAUACCAGGAUGUAGUCCCUUCAUUUGUAUACCAAAUUCCUCAAAAUAGUCAUAUUCAUUGCCCGAUAA